GCACACACACACACUCUCUCUCCUCUUAUGUUCUUCCUAUCUCUCUUCUCCUCCUCUUUUCGCCUUUCUCCCUCUAUCCUCCUCUUCACUUCUUCCUCAAUUCAAGAUCGAGUUGGUUGGUCCUAGCAACGGCGCAAGGAGUUGAUACAAACCCAUCACCUUUCAUCGUUUCCCCCUCUCGAAAUGAUCGAUGUUCUUGAAGGAAUCAAAAGGCUAGAAUUUGGUUGCCAAGGAAGCCAUGGAAUUUGAGAUCAAAGUUGGAGCAACUCGGAAUAAUGGUGGAAGAUGUUUGAAGAAGGCACAGAGCAAUUCAGGUUGAAUGUAGCUUUACAGAGGAGUCAAUUUGGUGUUUCCUUUGUGAAGCUCGACUAUAUGGGGUUGAUGAAGCUAGGAAACGUUAUCUUGAGGAGAGUUGGAGGGACGUGACAUUGAGCAUGGUGCAUUCAAGGAGCUUUCCCGGUUCUUAUCUAGCUCAAAUCUUCUGCAAACUUACCAGAAGAAGUGUGUUAAUGACUACUCAGCAGGAGCCAACAAUGCUUACCUAUUUGAUCUUUGGCGCCUCCAACGUGACAUUGGCCUUUAUUUUUGGGAUUGCUCGGAAUGGAAAGCGUUAAAAAAGAUAGCGGAGAAUACAUUGUUUUAUGUGCAGCGUGCCAACUCCAUGUUAUUAAUCCUCAGUUCAAGCUCCCAGCGUGCUAGCUUUUGUAACAAUUUUAACUCUCGAUAUGGGGGAUGUGAGAAGGUAAGAAGGGUUUGGGAGCUUAGCUUGAUUAUGCUGAAGAGGCUUAAUUUUCCAAAAGGUUAACAACAAUAGGGGGGUCUUUGCGCUAUUGCUCAGUGUGGGUCUCUUCGUUACAAGCUUCUUGAAGUCGCUCUGCUGUUAGAAGGGUUUAUUUGAGGAAUGUUUUGGGUUCAUCUAGAGUUUGCCACUCGACUGUCAUCCCUGCUGCCCCACCAUAUCCCGUGCUCCUCCUCGCAGCUUAGUUUUCUACUGUAAAAUAAUUGAAGUAGUGUUGUAGUGUUGAGCUAGUUGAUUAUUUUAAUUAUUAGGUGAUAAUUAUUAGCUUGGUUUUCUACUGUAAAAUAUUUUUUUUAUUUUAAUUAUUAGGUGAUAAUUGAACUUUGAUGAUUGUA